GAACUUAUAGUUUAAAUUAGAAUAUUUCAUUCACAAUGAAGAGGUUAAAAAGUUUU
rnacentral:tRNA from 1 species